GGCAGGUCUGAAGAUAGUGGAUAACUCAAUGGAUUGUUCAUAGUCAGCUAUAGAUUGAACUCCUUGUUUUACUCCUUCUCCCCUUCUCAAUACUACACUUGACUAGUCUUAC
rnacentral:Y_RNA from 1 species